rnacentral:rRNA from 1 species
CCUACGGGUGGCAGCAGUGAGGAAUAUUGGUCAAUGGACGAGAGUCUGAACCAGCCAAGUAGCGUGAAGGAUGACUGCCCUAUGGGCUGUAAACUUCUUUUAUAUGGGAAUAAAAUGUUCCACGUGUGGGAUUUUGUAUGUACCAUAUGAAUAAGGAUCGGCUAACUCCGUGCCAGCAGCCGCGGUAAUACGGAGGAUCCGCGCGUUAUCCGGAUUUAUUGGGUUUAAAGGGAGCGUAGGUGGAUUGUUAAGUCAGUUGUGAAAGUUUGCGGCUCAACCGUAAAAUUGCGGUUGAAACUGGCAGUCUUGAGUACAGUAGAGGUGGGCGGAAUUCGUGGUGUAGCGGUGAAAUGCUUAGAUAUCACGAAGAACUCCGAUUGCGAAGGCAGCUCACUGGACUGCAACUGACACCGAGGCUCGAAAGUGUGGGUAGCAAACAGGAUUAGAUACCCCAGUAGUC